AAGUCCAUGAUGUGGUCAAUUCUGUUGAAACUUCUAAUGCCUCUCCCAUGUCUCACAUAAUGAUUCGCCUUCCAACUGAGAAAAACUGGUUAUAUCCAUUAUUAAUUU